rnacentral:ncRNA from 1 species
AGGAGCCGUAUGAGAUGAAAAUCUCAUGUACGGUUCUGCAAUAGGAUGAGAACAGUGAUGUUCUCAUCUUUACUAUGAU